AUGACGUGCUCCCGAGGCGGAAGUGUGCUCUUAAGUGCUUCUGCAGGACCCUGGAUCCCUCUGAUGGGCCUGGCCAGGGACCAGAGCUCUGCACCAAGGGCCAGGCUAAAGCUCAGCUGGGUCUUCAAGACCACCUGCUGCAAAACAAGUGCACCUCCCUUUCCCAUUUUACAGUCAGUGAACGCACCUGGGCCUGUGCACACUGGGACUCGGCACAUCGGCACGGACAGUGAUAGGACUCAGUCCCCACUGCUCACGUGGAAGGCCUCAAAGAAGCAAAACUGGCCCAGGUCCAACAUGAGGCUUGUGAGGCAACAUGGCGCCCAAGAUGAACGUGGGCCUGACCCUCCCCAUCACCCGGAUAUGGCUGAGGCCUCCCAUCCCUUGCAGCGGCAUGAAAUGCCCGGAUUUUCAGUUUCUCAGCAUCCCAGUUUCCCUUAGCUGUGAGAUGAGGGUAUGAAUCCCAGACUCCUCACAGCCUUGUUCUGAAUAUUAAAAAAAUAAAAGGUGGAAAACCUGUCACGUGGAAGGUUGUACGUGGUUGGCUAUUAUUCUGUAGACCUGCGCAUAGCACAUAAUCAGCAUGUAAUACGAUUUUGGGAAGAGUAUAUUACACCUCCCUAAAGAUUUUCAGAAAUAUGCUGCAUAGUGGACAGUACGAAGAAGGAGAGGGAAGCUCAGAGUGGGCAGAGCCAUUGGCUAGAGGGUUGCAGAGGAAAUGGUGUCUGUUGGGGGGCUGGGUUUUAGCAGCAUUCGCCUAUCUUGCGAUGUCGUGAUCCUGCUGCACGCUUUAAGGGAUCCUGAAAAUUUGGGAGAAGAAUGCUAAUAUUGGAGGGUGAGAGAAGAUGGCUUCUUGGAUGGGGAAUUGGGUGGUCCUGUCUUUUCCAGACAUAGAUUAACAAUGACUUAAUUCUAGAAAUAUUGUCAGCAAGUAAAAUAAAUAGACCAAUCACUGUGGGCAAAUUGUAUGUUAAUGCUUCUAAGCAUUGUUUCCAGCCUGACCCUUACAUAUACAUUUAAUCAAUCCAGAUGGAUGAGUCAUCCUGCUCUUAAUUAAUCUUUUAGGACAUUUAUAGAGCAGAGGCAGUCUUUACACAGGUCUUAUAAAUGUGGUUAAGCUUAGUAUGGAUUUUUAUUUAUGUGCCUAGCACAAGCAGCCGUUAUUUCUAAGUGAUGGUUUGUUUUCAAUGUUCUCAGACCUUCAAAAUGUUUUAUUUUUACUCUUGGGGAGGGAAUCAGGGGUGAGUUGAAAGAAAACACAGCAUGGCUGGAGCUUCCAAUAUGUGGCAGGACCUGGUUAACCUUUCUAGGCUGUGUGCGUUUGUUGGGAUUUUACGGUGAGGACAAGGAACCGGGCGCUCCCAGCAGGAGGCCUUUGUGAGCAGUGGUGCUGCGUUCGGACUUCUCACAGCUGUCGGGAUCCUG
rnacentral:lncRNA from 1 species